AGGUUUGGGGUGUGCAUAA
rnacentral:piRNA from 1 species